rnacentral:lncRNA from 1 species
GGAAAACAAGAUCCUGGCGGUUACAUCACAGCUCCAGGACAUCUCAGGAGCAGGCAUCAGUCAGGCAGGAGUAAUGAAAAGAGAACAACAUGGAUUUCAUCAAUGCUGCUCAGCUGUCAGUGUGCCAGGGUUUCACUUUCAUUAUGUUUGUUGUUGGUGUGGGACAUCUGAGAACAGAUUCACAGCUAAGAGAAAUGAUGAAACCGAGGACACCAAUGUGGGAGGACAGUGAUCUAUGGAGCACCACAGCAGCUCAGUGGUGGCUGACAGAGUUGACAAGUGGAGGUGAAGAUGGGCCUGUCAGAGGGGAGCGAAGGGCAGAUAAGAGCUGGCAAAGACAAAAUGUUUCUCUUUGGCUGCUGUCCUCAUAUCUGACCCUUUCUUUCAAUUAGUAAUAGUCAAAUAACAAUGACCUUUGAACACAUGCAUUGACACAUGCACACGCACGCACGCACGCACGCACACACACACACACACACACACAGAAGAAUUGUGGCCAUAUGAUUAAUUCCAAUUGAACAUAUCAAGAGAUGAAGUAAGUAGAAUAAGACAGACAUGAAAACUUCCACGAGAAUUGAGGAUAAAGCAGCACUGUUCAUUCAAAUUCUUCAAUUAAAGAAACCAAGCAGCAGAAGUGAGAGUAAGUCUGUCAAAAGCGAGUCAGGAACAACAGAUGCAAAUUAGCUGCAAGCCAACUCUGGUACAACUUCUUUUAAUACAUAAAAAAUUCUUAACCUUCAAGUCGCAAACAAUUCUCAAGUUACUGUUGUAACAAACAGCACAAGUCAAGUUGAACUUAAGAGAACCUUCCCUUAAGUUUCUACCUUUCAGGAAUUGAUUGAGAAACGUUUCUCGAACUUUACAUGGAUUGCUGGGAUGUUUUAUCCCUCGAAAAUGCAAAUAUUUGUCCUUUAGAGUCACCUGUCUCAAGCCUCAAGUGAAUACAAUCCUCAAACUUGCGAUCACUCGGGUCCCCCAUCUCUGCUAACUGGUUAAAAGUUUCAUUCAACAAAACAAAAUGUUCUAUAAAGGAUCAAAACUAAUGGAGCUAUUAAAAAAAAUAUCUAAAUUAAAUUAAAACAGGAUUUGGUGCAGGGUAUUGUUUUCACUCAUAAAGGAUGACAAAUGGGUAGAGAAAGUUAAACAGUGGAUAAAAGAGGGAAAUCCUGAGAGUGGAGCUUGUGGCAGGAAGUCAGAGGAAUUACUCCAGUAAUCAGACAGCUGUUGAUAAAACUGCUGCAGCCCGUAAUUGUAAUAAAGCGGCAGGCUGAGGACUUUUUGACUUUUUGAGAAAUGCCUUGAAAACAACUCAUCACAGCUGAGUGCCGCUACUGAUGACGAUGAGAUGAAACUUUUAUGAUCCCUGUGGAAAAUAAGGGACUCAUUUAAAAUGCCCUCAGCCCUGUGAGUAGUGCAGAAUAAUUGAAAAGCCUAGAGUGACAUUAUUGAUUUUUUUAAUUUUUAGUCACCACACAAGCUGUAAACAGACCCAAAAAGUAGGAUCCUCGAAAACUGCUUGUGUCUUACUCAACCAUAAGGUUUUUUAAAAAAAGUAAAAAAUCUUAUUUCGGCUUCUUUU